rnacentral:rRNA from 1 species
GGUCCAGACUCCUACGGGAGGCAGCAGUGGGGAAUAUUGCACAAUGGGGGGAACCCUGAUGCAGCGACGCCGCGUGAGUGAAGAAGUAUUUCGGUCUGUAAAGCUCUAUCAGCAGGGAAGAUAAUGACGGUACCUGACUAAGAAGCCCCGGCUAACUACGUGCCAGCAGCCGCGGUAAUACGUAGGGGGCAAGCGUUAUCCGGAUUUACUGGGUGUAAAGGGUGCGUAGGUGGCAGGGCAAGUCAGAUGUGAAAGCCCGGGGCCCAACCCCGGCGAGCCGUUGAAACUGGCUGUCUUGAGAUGUCGAGAGGUAUGCGGAAUGCGCAGUGUAGCGGUGAAAUGCUUAGAUAUUGCGCAGAACUCCGAUUGCGAAGGCAGCAUACCGGCGGCGAUCUGACGCUGAGGCACGAAAGCGUGGGUAUCGAACAGGAUUAGAUACCCUUGUAAC